rnacentral:rRNA from 1 species
UACGAAGGGGGCUAGCGUUGCUCGGAAUCACUGGGCGUAAAGGGUGCGUAGGCGGUUUGUCGCGUCUGCUGUGAAAACCCGGGGCUCAACCCCGGGCCUGCAUUCGAUACGGGCAGACUAGAGUUCGGUAGGGGAGUCUGGAAUUCCUGGUGUAGCGGUGAAAUGCGCAGAUAUCAGGAGGAACACCGGUGGCGAAGGCGGGACUCUGGGCCGAUACUGACGCUGAGGAGCGAAAGCGUGGGGAGCAAACAGG